CAAGUAUUAAAACAACUAAAAGAUGACAGCAUCUACCCAACAAAAAAAGUUGAUCAUUCUGUUCGAGAAGAGACGGUUUCUGCCAGUUCUAUAAGGGAUAAAAGGACACAGUGAAAUACAUGGACUCUUGUAGUUUAAAUCUCAUUCAGUUAAUUCAAUAAACAUUUAUUAAGUGCCUACUAUGUGCAAGAUAUCAUCUAGGCACCGGAGAGACAAAAACAAAGCAGUCCCUGCCCUCAAGGAGCUUACAUUCUACUGGAGGAAAAUGUACACAGAUAAGUACAAAAUAUAUACAAAGUAGAUACAAUAUCAUUUUGAGGUGGGGUAGCAUUAACAAUGGGGCAGAACAACAAAGCCCACUUGGAGGAGGUGGCAAGUGGGCAGAGACUGAAGGGAGCUAGGGGCUUCAAAAUGCAGAGAUGAGGCAAAGCAUUACCAUGCAGGUGGAAUAGCUUUGUGUGGAGGGAAGCACAAGCACAGGAGGAAUAUUUAAUACGUGUGGGGAAUACCAAGGAGCCCGGUUUGUUUAGAAGGUAGGGUGUGGGAGGUAGAAACAUGAGAUCCAUUUGGAAAUAGAAGCUGGAGUCAGAUUAUAAAAGGCCAAUAUGAGGGGUUUUUAUGUUAUCCUGGAGGCACAAGGAGCUACAUAAACUGCUACAUGUUUAGACCCAUGCCUUUGGAAUAUCUGGUUAGCAGCCGUUUGGAGAAAACUGGAAGCAGGAAGACCAAUUAGGAACCCAGGCUAGAGGUGACAACAAUCUGAAUUAGGGUAGAGAUCACAGGAAUAGAUAGAAAGGGAUAGCUAAGAAAGCUAUUGGGAAGGUGGAGUCUGCAAGACUACAUCUCAUAGACAAGGGCUCAUAAAUGGUCACUGGUGUGACAACCAACCAUCAACAGGUUGGUUGUAAGGGUAAGUGGUUGAAAAAGAUAAGCAAUUAUGGAUCUGAUUGAUGGGGAGGUGCUAAGACUUAGUGAAAAGUGCCAGAGUCCCAACUCCUUGUGCUAGAGAUGUCACCAACUAGCCAAGAUGUCACAUGGGCAAGUUAGUCCAUCUCUUUGGGCUUCAGAGCCCUCACCUAAUAAAAAUGGAAAGAAAUAUCUGCCCCCCUCCGCUCCCAUCUCCUCACAGGGAUAGUUUGAAGAGCAGCUGAAAUAACAGAGCUGGAAGCCUUUUGAAAAAUCUAGAGAUCAGCAUACCAGUACAACAUUAUUAUAAAUUCUUAGGUCUUGGAAGAACUGGAGAACACUCUGCAUACGCUACGCCCCUCUCUAUUUCUCCCUCCUCUUUGUAUGCAGGUUGGAAAUUAGGCUUGCCUAUGAGAAACUCACCUUAGAUCCCCAUGCCUAUGAAUGUCAAACACUCAUUUUAUACAUUUAUACACACACCCAAAUAAGUAUUUAAAGAAAUAAAACUGUUCUAAAUACAUUUCCAUUUGCUUAUAAAUGCUGAUUUACAAUCCUAAAUCUUCCCUUGCUUGUCUGUUUUUUUUUUUUUUUUUUUUUAAAUCUCCAAACUUUAAUCCAAAUACCAGUUCCUGGAUGAGUACUUUCCAUGAUUGAGAGUUGCAUUGUCAGCACCCAUACACAUGUCAUGCAUCUGCAACAUGGAAUGACACACCAUUAUGCCUCCCUAUACAAUUAUUCUUACAUGGCAGCAGUGUUAUAUAAUCUUACCUCAUGUUACCCUAAAUUCAGACAGAGUUGACCUUCUCCACGAUUUGUGAUUUUUCCCCAACACUUGGGCAAAAACGCCUAUGUCAACAGUUUAAAAGAAGGGGAUUAAAAUUCGCUGCUAGCUAACACUAUUCAGGGAAAAGAUUUGAAGAAAAUGAACACUGUGACUUUGUGAUACACAGCCACAAACAUAACACUGGCCAAAGUUGUGCUUUUUCUAAUUUGUGCUCUGAGCCAAUUCCAAUCAUCUCCCAUGAGUCUAUGAUUUCUUAAGGUCACUCAAAUAUUCCCCAUAGAGCCCGUGUUCUUCAGUUUGCCAAAGUUUAAAGAAUGUCCCUCUAUAUAAGUCAGUCUGCUUGGCCUUCUGGCAUCAAAGCCUUUGAAUGCUUCCAUGUCUUUCUUAAGCUCCACAGAGGGUUCCUUCAGUCCCUAAAGUAGUGGAAAGACAUCCAUCUUGAAUCAUUAGGCUGUACUUCAAAUUCUAGCUCUGCCAUUUAAUAUUUAUGUGAUCUUGGAACAGUUUCCUUAUCUAAAAGAUGAAGGAGUUGGACUAUAUCAGUUCUUAAUUUAGGGUCUGUGAUCUUAUUUUCUAAAAAUAUUGGUAACUUUC
rnacentral:lncRNA from 1 species